rnacentral:lncRNA from 1 species
AUGGAGGAUGGAUUGUACAUGUCUCCAGUGGACAUUAUACCACUAAACAAACCAUUUGCCUGUUAUUGUUGUUUGUUUUUCUUCAGUCAAGCCAGUCUUGAAGUCUUAUAUGAACACAUGUUUUCAAAACAUUAUCUAUCAGAGAAUCAAAUUCAGGGUAAUAAUUCUUCAAAAUAUACACUCAACUGCCAUUGAUGAAAUAUGUAACCUGAAUCUGCAUUGGGGCAAUUGCGCCAAUUUUCCAAACUUAAGAUGAAAAAUUGACACUAGGUGCCAGUUUUAAUCCACAAUUCAUCACCAGAUGCCAAUCUGAGGGGGUAGGAUUGGGUAGAGAGUUAUGCAGUGUUGAUAGGAGGGUGCAAACCUGUGUUACAACUGCAUCAGAGAGGGGAGAGAGGGGAGUAAAAAAUCUGAUUUUUAACGUUACGCAUUUUAUGAGCGGCCACUUAGAGCACAACUUCAGGAUUGAUUCAAGAAGUUGAGCUUCAAAUCGAAAUUUGUGUCAAAGUAAAAAGGUUUUGCAUUGCCCAUCAACAGAAUUGGCAACUAAGACAGAGACUCAUUUGGACGUAUUUCUACUAAACGGAACUAUGUGCAUUAUGACGUGAGCCCUGUUAUGCACAUAUUCUUAAGGGUCUCAGGGCUCACGUGUUAAUGCACAUAGUUCCGUUUGAUAGAAAUACGUUCAUUUUACCAUCUCAAUGCAUUCUUUAUUUUCUUGCACCACCUAUUUAGAUCCCUACCUUCCAACAAAGUACAGCCUCGAAAAAUUGCUUCAACGAUUAAUGCAAUUACUCUGAUAAUAGAUUCUCAUACUUCGGAUACGCACAUUGAGAAAGAAUGAAAAAGAAGUUGCAAUGUUUACUCAUGAUUAUCAUUAUGAACGUGCAGUAGAGAUUAGAAAUAGUAAAUAUUGCUUGAAUAUCUACUUAGGGAAAAUGAGUUAAGUGCUCAAACACCUUACACUAUGCAAGCUGAGAGAACCGUCACUUAAAAACUUUGAAGGAUUUGCGUGAGGUAAUUCUACCAAAUGUAAAACGUGAGGAAGGGUAAAUACAGCUGAUGAAAGAUCCUGUAGAGCUGUAAUCUGACGACAUUAUCAUCUUUGAGGGUUGAGGUGAAAAUGUUUGUUUGCAGUUGGUCCUAUUCUUCUCUCUUUCAAAAUUUUCAGAGACGUCAAAGAGGUGAUCAAAUUUAAAUGGAUCUUAAAAAGGUGAAGUUGAUCUGAAUGUCACUUCAAAAGACUCACAAAAUAAUAGAUACUCAUACACAUUCAGCAUUUUGAUCGUUUUGACUGCUUGAGUACUUGCCACCUGCUUGGCCAGGUAUGACAGAGAAAACAAUUUUUCUAGGGUUCAGCAAGGAAUCCUUGAACCUCAUGACACAUUGACAUCAACACCUUUGUAAAUUCUUCACCUUUAUCUAUCGAUUAGACAAGCUCUAUGAAAUGGUGGUAAGCAGGUGCUUUUUUUAAAUUGAGUACAUUCAUAUUUUAUGUUGAAUUUAACCUAGUAAAUACAUUGAAAAAUAAGCCACCAUCUUAUCCACAUUUUGUUAUCAUGCUUAUAUUGAUUCAAGAAAAAUCAAACAAACAUCGUAGUAAAAUAAUAAUUUCCUUGGCACAUUUUUCACAUUUUGUCAUUGGUUUCUGCUUUUUGGUCGAUCACGUUAAUUAAUAUUUGUAUUGAAUGUAAAACAAUCCUAUCAAUAUUCCAAGCCUAAUUCAUUCACAAGAUAAAAACAUGAGCUAGACGGUAAUGGAAAAACAGUUGUUUGGCAAUUACAGAAUAAACAAUGAGGUUAAAGAAAAUGGUGGUAGCCUU